rnacentral:rRNA from 1 species
GAUGAACGCUGGCGGCGUGCUUAACACAUGCAAGUCGAACGAUGAAGCCCAGCUUGCUGGGUGUAUUCGUGGCGAACGCGUGAGUAAAACGUGAGUAACCUGCCCUUUACUCUGGGAUAAGCCUUGGAAACUGUGUCUCAUACAGGGUAGGAGCGUCCACCGCAUGGUGGGUGGUGGGGAGAUUUAUCGGUUUUGGAUGGACUCGCGGCCUAUCACCUUGUUGGUGAGGUAAGGGCUCACCACGGCGACGACGGGUGGCCGGCCUGAGAGGGUGACCGGCCACAAUGGGACUGAGACACGGCCCAGACUCCUACGGGAGGCAGCAGUGGGGAAUAUUGCACAAUGGGCGGAAGCCUGAUGCAGCGACGCCGCGUGAGGGAUGACGGCCUUCGGGUUGUAAACCGCUUUCGGUAGGGAAGAAGCGAAAGUGACGGUAACGGGAGAAGAAGCACCGGCUAACUACGUG